GGACCCGCACAAGCGGUGGAUGAUGUGGUUUAAUUCGAUGCAACGCGAAAAACCUUACCUACCCUUGACAUGCCAGGAACUUACCAGAGAUGGUUUGGUGCUCGAAAGAGAGCCUGGACACAGGUGCUGCAUGGCUGUCGUCAGCUCGUGUCGUGAGAUGUUGGGUUAAGUCCCGCAACGAGCGCAACCCUUGUCAUUAGUUGCUACGCAAGAGCACUCUAAUGAGACCGCCGGUGACAAACCGGAGGAAGGUGGGGAUGACGUCAAGUCCUCAUGGCCCUUAUGGGUAGGGCUACACACGUCAUACAAUGGGCGGUACAGAGGGUUGCCAACCCGCGAGGGGGAGCCAAUCCCUUAAAACCGCUCGUAGUCCGGAUUGUAGUCUGCAACUCGACUGCAUGAAGUCGGAAUCGCUAGUAAUCGCGGAUCAGCUUGCCGCGGUGAAUACGUUCCCGGGUCUU
rnacentral:rRNA from 1 species